GACGAACGCUGGCGGCGUGCCUAAUACAUGCAAGUCGAGCGAAGUUUUUCUGGUGCUUGCACUAGAAAAACUUAGCGGCGAACGGGUGAGUAACACGUAAAGAACCUGCCUCAUAGACUGGGACAACUAUUGGAAACGAUAGCUAAUACCGGAUAACAGUAUUUCUCGCAUGAGAGAUAUUUAAAAGUUGGUUAUGCUAACACUAUGAGAUGGCUUUGCGGUGCAUUAGCUAGUUGGUGGGGUAAAGGCCCACCAAGGCGACGAUGCAUAGCCGACCUGAGAGGGUGAUCGGCAACACUGGGACUGAGACACGGCCCAGACUCCUACGGGAGGCAGCAGUAGGGAAUCUUCCGCAAUGGGCGAAAGCCUGACGGAGCAACGCCGCGUGAGUGAAGAAGGAUUUCGGUUCGUAAAGCUCUGUUGUUAGGGAAGGAUGGAUAUGUAGUAACUAUACAUGUAAGAGACGGUACCUAACCAGAAAGCCACGGCUAACUACGUG
rnacentral:rRNA from 1 species